rnacentral:rRNA from 1 species
UGGGGAAUAUUGGACAAUGGGGGAAACCCUGAUCCAGCAAUGCCGCGUGAGUGAAGAAGGCCUUCGGGUUGUAAAGCUCUUUUAUCAGGGACGAUAAUGACGGUACCUGAUGAAUAAGAUCCGGCUAACUUCGUGCCAGCAGCCGCGGUAAUACGAAGGGAUCUAGCGUUGUUCGGAAUUACUGGGCGUAAAGGGUGCGUAGGCGGCUUUGAAAGUUUGGUGUGAAAGACCUGGGCUUAACCUGGGAAUGGCAUCGAAAACUGCAAGGCUUGAGAACGAGAGAGGAAAAUGGAAUUGCGAGUGUAGAGGUGGAAUUCGUAGAUAUUCGCAAGAACACCAGUGGCGAAGGCGAUUUUCUGGAUCGGUAUCUGACGCUGAGGCACGAAAGCGUGGGGAGCAAACAGG